GUCGUUGUUGGACAUAUAAAUCUUAGAAAGUGUAUCAUCUGUUAAAUUUGCAGGUCACUGAAAGGGGAAGUCCCAUACGGAAGUAGGUGUUGAGGAUGAUUUUUUUUUAUAUCCAGUGACACAUAUUACAUGCGUAUUCUUGAACGUUUGAUACAUCAUUUACUCUCAAAUUGCAAAAACGAAAACUUCCACUUGUAUUUAUAGUAUUUGUAUUUUUAUCCAUCUGAUGAGUUAAGCCUUUUUCAACUGAUUUGUAUAGUUCGUUCAUAUGUUGUACUGUGACACCACUGUCCAAGGUUAUGGGAGGGUUGGGAUCCCACUAACAUGUUUAACACGCCACAUUAUCUAUGUAUGUGCCUGUUCCAAGUCAGUGGUCUGUAAUUCAGUGGUUGUCGUUUGUUAAUGUGUUACCUAUUUGUUUUUCGUUCAUUUUCUCUUAAAUAAAUUAGGCUGUUUUUUUUAAAUUUUUUCGUUUGAAUUGUUUUACAUUGUCAAUUAGCUGACUUUGCGGUAGGGGCUUUGCUUGUAUUGGAUGGUCGUACGGUGCAAUUAUAUAAUUUAGUCCAUCCAAAGCGAUCUUUAUUUAACUAUUUAGGAAUUAAUGUUCUCAUCAAAAUAUUUUAAAUCUCACAACGCAUGAAUACUUCAGCUAUUUGAAAAAAAAAGAUAUUUUAAAAAAUUGACAGGAAAUUUAAGGAUCUUCUUGGAAUGGAAUCGAAAAA
rnacentral:lncRNA from 1 species